rnacentral:rRNA from 1 species
GAUGAACGCUGGCGGCGGGCCUAAUACAUGCAAGUCGAGCGAACGGACGAGAAGCUUGCUUCUCUGAUGUUAGCGGCGGACGGGUGAGUAACACGUGGAUAACCUACCUAUAAGACUGGGAUAACUUCGGGAAACCGUAGCUAAUACCGGAUAAUAUUUUGAACCGCAUGGUUCAAAAGUGAAAGACGGUCUUGCUGUCACUUAUAGAUGGAUCCGCGCUGCAUUAGCUAGUUGGUAAGGUAACGGCUUACCAAGGCAACGAUGCAUAGCCGACCUGAGAGGGUGAUCGGCCACACUGGAACUGAGACACGGUCCAGACUCCUACGGGAGGCAGCAGUAGGGAAUCUUCCGCAAUGGGCGAAAGCCUGACGGAGCAACGCCGCGUGAGUGAUGAAGGUCUUCGGAUCGUAAAACUCUGUUAUUAGGGAAGAACAUAUGUGUAAGUAACUGUGCACAUCUUGACGGUACCUAAUCAGAAAGCCACGGCUAACUACGUG